rnacentral:rRNA from 1 species
AUUGAACGCUGGCGGCAUGCCUUACACAUGCAAGUCGAACGGUAACAGGUCUUCGGAUGCUGACGAGUGGCGAACGGGUGAGUAAUACAUCGGAACGUGCCUAGUAGUGGGGGAUAACUACUCGAAAGAGUGGCUAAUACCGCAUGAGAUCUACGGAUGAAAGCAGGGGAUCGCAAGACCUUGUGCUACUAGAGCGGACGAUGGCAGAUUAGGUAGUUGGUGGGAUAAAAGCUUACCAAGCCGACGAUCUGUAGCUGGUCUGAGAGGACGAUCAGCCACACUGGGACUGAGACACGGCCCAGACUCCUACGGGAGGCAGCAGUGGGGAAUUUUGGACAAUGGGCGCAGGCCUGAUCCAGCAAUGCCGCGUGCAGGAUGAAGGCCUUCGGGUUGUAAACUGCUUUUGUACGGAACGAAAAGCCCUGGGUUAAUACCCUGGGGUCAUGACGGUACCGUAAGAAUAAGCACCGGCUAACUACGUGCCAGCAGCCGCGGUAACAC